CAGAAGCAGCUCCUCGGGUCUUACGCGCCAGGACAUGUUAUUGAGAUCGGCGGACAAUCGCAAAUGUCUAGAUAUGCUUCGGGGUAUAUGAUUAGAUAGGAAACGAUGAAAGAAAAAUUGAAAGGAAGAUUUGGAAUGUGAGGAAUGGAAGGAGGGAGCGAGUUAAUGAGUAUGUGCCAG